rnacentral:rRNA from 1 species
UUCGUAGGCGGUGUGGCAAGUCGGGAGUGAAAUCUUUGGGCUUAACUCAGAGGCUGCUUCCGAAACUGCUGUGCUUGAGUGUGGGAGAGGCGCGUGGAAUUGCAGGUGUAGCGGUGAAAUGCGUAGAUAUCUGCAGGAACACCCGUGGCGAAAGCGGCGCGCUGGACCACUACUGACGCUGAGGAACGAAAGCUAGGGGAGCAAACAGGACUAGAUACCCUGGUAGUCCUAGCCCUAAACGAUCGGGACUUGGGGUGCCGCACUUUCGUGCGUCGUCCCGGAGCUAACGCGUUAAGUCCCGCGCCUGGGGAGUACGGUCGCAAGACUGAA